UACGAAGGGUGCAACCGUUGCUCGGAAUUAUUGGGCGUAAAGCGCACGUAGGCGGCUUUGCAAGUCGGAUGUGAAAUCCCUCGGCUUAACCAAGGAAGUGCAUCCGAAACUGCAGAGCUUGAGUACUUAAGAGGAUCGCGGAAUUCCCGGUGUAGAGGUGAAAUUCGUAGAUAUCGGGAGGAACACCAGUGGCGAAGGCGGCGAUCUGGGAAGAUACUGACGCUGAGGUGCGAAAGCGUGGGGAGCAAACAGG
rnacentral:rRNA from 1 species